CCUGAUGGGUUGUUGCUGGUUCUCUAGGGAGCAUGUGCACACCUUGUCAUCUUUAUAUCUCCACCUGUGCACUUUUUGUAGACCUUUCAGGUCUAUGUUGCUUCAUUUACCCCAAUGUAUGUUAAUAGAAUGUUGUGCCUAUAUAAUAUAUACAACUUUCAGCAACGGAUCUCUUGGCUCUCGCAUCGAUGAAGAACGCAGCGAAAUGCGAUAAGUAAUGUGAAUUGCAGAAUUCAGUGAAUCAUCGAAUCUUUGAACGCACCUUGCGCUCCUUGGUAUUCCGAGGAGCAUGCCUGUUUGAGUGUCAUUAAUAUAUCAACCUUCUCUUUUUUGAGUUGUUUGGAUGUGGGGGUUUGCUGGCCUCUUAAAUGAUUCAGCUCCCCUGAAAUGCAUUAGCAGAACAACCUGUUCAUUGGCGUGAUAAUUAUCUAUGCUAUUGAAUGUGAGGGCAGUUCAGCUUUCUAACCGUCCUCGGACAAUUCAUCAUUAAUGUGACCUCAAAUCAGGUAGGACUACCCGCUGAACUUAAGCAUAUCAAUAGCCGGAGGAACUUGGUCAUUUAGAGGAAGUAAGCGGAGG
rnacentral:rRNA from 1 species